UGUUGGUUAGUUUAAUGAAUAAAAAUUAGCGAGAAAAUAAAGACAUGAUGAGUUAAGCAAAGAUGUAAUUGAGUAGUAAUUAUGGAAGUUAGGUAGAAAGACGUAGAGUGGUAUGGAGCAUGGAUGUAGAAGCUAAUUCUUUGCUUGCAAGUUGGAUCUGUCUGCACCCAUUACUGUAGAGGUUGUGAGUUCAUUAUCAGAUUCUCCACCACGACGGUUGCC
rnacentral:lncRNA from 1 species